UGAGUGUUUGGGUUUGGUUGACCAUCUUUCUUAGCAGAUGCAUCUCCACCUUUUGCAUUACCCUUGGUGUCACCCUAAAAAUUGCCAUAAUUAGCAUAAUCUAAUAUAAAUAAAUCAAAAAAUCAAAAGUUUAAAACAGGAAAUUUUAGUAAAAAAGAGAGAUGAUUUAGCGAGGAAAAAUAAAGUUACCUCCAUCUGCACAGCAUUGCAAUCUCAGUAUCAACACAAAAGACAAAAAAAAAAAAAUGGGGAGGAAAAAAAAACUACAUUAGUUAAAAUAAAUCAAGAAAUAAACAUCAAAAACAAAAUCCAAACAAAAUUUAGAACCUUAUAAAUUUAAUAGUCAUCAGUCUUCUAAAUGCUCUCCAUUUUCAUAGCAAGUAAACAAACGGACUAAUAAAAACAAAACAAACGAGAAUAAAAAAGUAACGCAAAUCACCUCUCUGUAUCUGGUUAGGUAAAUUUUCAGCGGAUCAAUAUAAUCCUCAAAGCCUAACGUUGCCAUAGCCCAAAGCAAAUCAUCACCGUUAAUCGUCUUUCUCUUCUCUCUCUGACACUUAUCACUCGC
rnacentral:lncRNA from 1 species